rnacentral:hammerhead_ribozyme from 1 species
ACACUGCUAAAGAGUCCCACAAUAGGAUGAAACGGCCGUCCAGUGC